GAGAUGAUCCCAAACACCCAGAAACACCAAGGAUCACUAGGAGAAGCAAGUAAGUGGUGGAGAAAUGAAAGAGAAAGAAAGACAGAAGGAUGUGGGUGCAAAGAAGAACGGCAGAAUUGGAAAGUAGAGGACGGCAGAGAACAGUGAGGAACAGCCUGAUGGAGAAGACCCUGCAUCUCAUCUGGGCAGCACAGUAGAGCUGAACUUGAUGACAGGGCUUGGGUGAGCUGGCCCUGAAAGUGUGAACAAGGGAGAACUGGCUCCUUGACUUCUCUGCCAUGUGGCAUCAUGAAUAAAGGAGCGAUGCCCCUGUCA